rnacentral:tRNA from 1 species
GCCUCAGUGGCUCAGUCAGUUAAGCAUCUGACUUUGGCUCAGGUCAUGAUCUCACCUUUCAUGGGUUCCAGCCCCAUGUCAGGCU